AAAUGCAGGAUUCUCUUCCUCAGGGCAACAUCUAAACAGAGCAUCCUUAUUCAGGUCGGCACAAAUGGAAGAUGAACUGAACCACACACUGACUUCUGGCCCAGAAUACUAUGCUGCUGGUGUUACAUUUCUAAAGCACAGGCCUCCCUCUUACGUUCCUCUGCCAGCCUUUCCAUUGCGUAUGAGACACAUCCCUAAGUUCACAUGGAGAUAACCAAGGCCCUUCGCCAUCUGGACAGCACCCGGCGGCUCCUACCUGGCCACUGUGCUUAGCGGUCCUGGCUUU
rnacentral:lncRNA from 1 species